rnacentral:rRNA from 1 species
GAUGAACGCUAGCGGGAGGCUUAACACAUGCAAGUCGAGGGGCAUCACGGGGUAGCAAUACUCUGGUGGCGACCGGCGCACGGGUGAGUAACACGUAUGCAACCUACCUCGUACAGGGGGAUAACCCGGAGAAAUUCGGACUAAUAUCCCAUAAUGAUAUUGAAAGGCAUCUUUUAAUAUUUAAAGCUCAGGCGGUACGGGAUGGGCAUGCGGAACAUUAGCUAGUUGGUAGGGUAACGGCCUACCAAGGCUGCGAUGGUUAGCUGGUCUGAGAGGAUGGCCAGCCACACUGGAACUGAGACACGGUCCAGACUCCUACGGGAGGCUG